rfam:Aurantimonas sp. Leaf443 contig_2, whole genome shotgun sequence.
GGCCCCGUAGCUCAGAGGAUAGAGCACCGGCCUUCUAAGCCGAUGGUCGCAGGUUCGAAUCCUGCCGGGGUCG